UACGGGGGGGUAAGCGUUGUUCGGAAUUACUGGGCGUAAAGGGCUCGUAGGCGGCCAACUAAGUCAGACGUGAAAUCCCUCAGCUUAACUGGGGAACUGCGUCUGAUACUGGAUGGCUUGGAUUCGGGAGAGGAAUGCGGAAUUCCAGGUGUAGCGGUGAAAUGCGUAGAUAUCUGGAGGAACACCGGUGGCGAAGGCGGCAUUCUGGACCGACAUUGACGCUGAGGAGCGAAGGCCAGGGGAGCAAACGGG
rnacentral:rRNA from 1 species